AGAGUUUGAUCCUGGCUCAGGACGAACGCUGGCGGCGUGCUUAACACAUGCAAGUCGAACGGAAAGGCCCUUCGGGGUACUCGAGUGGCGAACGGGUGAGUAACACGUGGGUGAUCUGCCCUGCACUCUGGGAUAAGCCUGGGAAACUGGGUCUAAUACCGGAUAGGACCGCAUGCUUCAUGGUGUGUGGUGCAAAGCUUUUGCGGUGUGGGAUGAGCCCGCGGCCUAUCAGCUUGUUGGUGGGGUAAUGGCCUACCAAGGCGACGACGGGUAGCCGGCCUGAGAGGGUGACCGGCCACACUGGGACUGAGAUACGGCCCAGACUCCUACGGGAGGCAGCAGUGGGGAAUAUUGCACAAUGGGCGCAAGCCUGAUGCAGCGACGCCGCGUGAGGGAUGACGGCCUUCGGGUUGUAAACCUCUUUCAGUAGGGACGAAGCGAAAGUGACGGUACCUACAGAAGAAGGACCGGCCAACUACGUGCCAGCAGCCGCGGUAAUACGUAGGGUCCGAGCGUUGUCCGGAAUUACUGGGCGUAAAGAGCUCGUAGGUGGUUUGUCGCGUUGUUCGUGAAAACUCACAGCUUAACUGUGGGCGUGUGGGCGAUACGGGCAGACUAGAGUACUGCAGGGGAGACUGGAAUUCCUGGUGUAGCGGUGGAAUGCGCAGAUAUCAGGAGGAACACCGGUGGCGAAGGCGGGUCUCUGGGCAGUAACUGACGCUGAGGAGCGAAAGCGUGGGUAGCGAACAGGAUUAGAUACCCUGGUAGUCC
rnacentral:rRNA from 1 species